rnacentral:rRNA from 1 species
GUAGGGAAUAUUGGACAAUGGGCGAAAGCCUGAUCCAGCAAUGCCGCGUGAGUGAUGAAGGCCUUAGGGUUGUAAAGCUCUUUUACCAGGGAUGAUAAUGACAGUACCUGGAGAAUAAGCUCCGGCUAACUCCGUGCCAGCAGCCGCGGUAAUACGGAGGGAGCUAGCGUUGUUCGGAAUUACUGGGCGUAAAGCGCGCGUAGGCGGCGACUUAAGGCAGAGGUGAAAGCCCGGGGCUCAACCCCGGAAUAGCCUUUGAGACUGGAUUGCUAGAAUCCUGGAGAGGUGAGUGGAAUUCCGAGUGUAGAGGUGAAAUUCGUAGAUAUUCGGAAGAACACCAGUGGCGAAGGCGGCUCACUGGACAGGUAUUGACGCUGAGGUGCGAAAGCGUGGGGAGCAAACAGGAUUAGAUACCCGGGUAGUCC